AUUGCUUUUCGGCCUUUUGGCUAAGAACAAGUGUAGUAUCUGUUCUUAUCAGUUUAAUAUCUGAUAUGUCCUCUAUCCAAGGACAAUAUAUUAAAUGGAUUUUUUGAGCAGAGAGAUGGGAUAGGAGCUUGCUCCGUCCACUCCAUGCAUCCACGCAUCGACCUGGUAUUGCAGUGCCUCCAGGAACGCUACACCCUCU
ensembl:snRNA U2 U2 spliceosomal RNA